rnacentral:rRNA from 1 species
ACGCCUAACACAUGCAAGUCGAACGAAGUAGCAAUACUUAGUGGCAGACGGGUGAGUAACAUGUAGGUAUCUGCCCUUUGGCCUGGAAUAACACGAGGAAACUUGUGCUAAUACCGGAUAAGUCUUUACGGAGAAAGCUUUAUGCACCAUUGGAUGAGCCUGCACUUGAUUAGUUUGUUGGUAGGGUAAUGGCCUACCAAGACUGUGAUCAAUAGCUGAUUUGAGAGGAUGAUCAGCCACAUUGGGACUGAGACACGGCCCAAACUCCUACGGGAGGCAGCAGUGGGGAAUCUUGCACAAUGGAGGAAACUCUGAUGCAGCGAUGCCGCGUGAGUGAAGAAGGCCUUUGGGUUGUAAAGCUCUUUCGUCGGGGAAGAAAAUGACUGUACCCGAAUAAGAAGGUCCGGCUAACUUCGUGCCAGCAGCCGCGGUAAUACGAAGGGACCUAGCGUAGUUCGGAAUUACUGGGCUUAAAGAGUUCGUAGGUGGUUGAAAAAGUUAGUGGUGAAAUCCCAGAGCUUAACUCUGGAACUGCCAUUAAAACUUUUCAGCUAGAGUAUGAUAGAGGAAAGCAGAAUUUCUAGUGUAGAGGUGAAAUUCGUAGAUAUUAGAAAGAAUACCAAUUGCGAAGGCAGCUUUCUGGAUCAUUACUGACACUGAGGAACGAAAGCAUGGGUAGCGAAGAGGAUUAGAUACCCUCGUAGUCCAUGCCGUAAACGAUGUGUGUUAGACGUUGGAAAUUUAUUUUCAGUGUCGCAGGGAAACCGAUAAACACACCGCCUGGGGAGUACGACCGCAAGGUUAAAACUCAAAUGAAUUGACGGGGACCCGCACAAGUAGUGGAGCAUGUGGUUUAAUUCGAAGAUACGCGCAGAACCUUACCAACACUUGACAUGUUCGUCGCGACUCUAAGAGAUUAGAGUUUUCGGUUCGGCCGGACGAAACACAGGUGCUGCAUGGCUGUCGUCAGCUCGUGUCGUGAGAUGUUGGGUUAAGUCCCGCAACGAGCGCAACCCUCACUUUUAGUUGCCAUCAUUAAGUUGGGCACUCUGAAAGAACUGCCAGUGAUAAGCUGGAGGAAGGUGGGGAUGACGUCAAGUCCUCAUGGCCCUUACGUGUUGGGCUACACACGUGCUACAAUGGUAUCUACAACAGGAAGCAAGACUGCGAAGUUAAGCAAAUCCCUAAAAGAUACCUCAGUUCGGAUUGCACUCUGCAACUCGAGUGCAUGAAGCUGGAAUUACUAGUAAUCGUGGAUCAGCGUGCCACGGUGAAUGCGUUCCCGGGUCUUGUACACACCGCCCGUCACACCAUGGGAGUUGGUUCUACCUUAAAGCAAGGUUUAAAACCCUUGACCACGGUAUAGUCAGCGACUGG